UUCAGAACGGGUGAAAUCCAGCAUGUGGUCUAAAGAUAUCUGUCGCCAUCCAUACUGAAGCUCUGUCCAGGCAAUGCGCUUCAGAGCUGGGCUCGCCUGCCUGCACACAAACUUCUGCAGCCGCAUGGGAACAUAUCAGCCCUUUGGCAUCUUCUGCAGCUUCACAGAUUAAAUUGAGAAAUCUUGCCCUCUUGGUCAAAGGUAAGAUUUACACAGAUACUGUAAGAGUUUUGAUUGUGUUCUGACCUACAUUUCCGUUCUGAAUUCUAAG